AUGCAUGUCUAAGUAUAAGCACUUUAUACUGUGAAACUGCGAAUGGCUCAUUAAAUCAGUUAUCGUUUAUUUGAUAGUACCUUACUACAUGGAUACCUGUGGUAAUUCUAGAGCUAAUACAUGCUAAAAACCUCGACUUCGGAAGGGGUGUAUUUAUUAGAUAAAAAACCAAUGCCCUUCGGGGCUCCUUGGUGAUUCAUAAUAACUUAACGAAUCGCAUGGCCUUGCGCCGGCGAUGGUUCAUUCAAAUUUCUGCCCUAUCAACUUUCGAUGGUAGGAUAGUGGCCUACCAUGGUGGCAACGGGUAACGGGGAAUUAGGGUUCGAUUCCGGAGAGGGAGCCUGAGAAACGCUACCACAUCCAAGGAAGGCAGCAGGCGCGCAAAUUACCCAAUCCCGACACGGGGAGGUAGUGACAAUAAAUACUGAUACGGGGCUCUUUUGGGUCUCGUAAUUGGAAUGAGUACAAUCUAAAUCCCUUAACGAGGAACAAUUGGAGGGCAAGUCUGGUGCCAGCAGCCGCGGUAAUUCCAGCUCCAAUAGCGUAUAUUAAAGUUGUUGCAGUUAAAAAGCUCGUAGUUGAACCUUGGGUCUGGCUGGCCGGUCCGCCUCACCGCGAGUACUGGUCCGGCUGGACCUUUCCUUCUGGGGAACCUCAUGGCCUUCACUGGCUGUGGGGGGAACCAGGACUUUUACUGUGAAAAAAUUAGAGUGUUCAAAGCAGGCCUUUGCUCGAAUACAUUAGCAUGGAAUAAUAGAAUAGGACGUGCGGUUCUAUUUUGUUGGUUUCUAGGACCGCCGUA
rnacentral:rRNA from 1 species